rnacentral:misc_RNA from 1 species
AAAAUUUUAAAAAUGACCGAAUCAUUACUUCUAUAUCGCGCCAUUUUGAAAUAUAGCUGACAGUUGAAUACUAUUUCCAUCGACAACAGAUGACGCCAGUGGUUUCAACAGAAAACUGGCCUUCAAGUUAUGUCCUAGAUUCUUUAAUUUCUCUCAGCCGUAUUUGAAAUUUGGAAUCCUUCAAGAAUUAAUAAAAUAGAUAUAUUGUUUGUAGGAUAAUUUUGUAAAUAUACAUACUGUAUAUAUGAUAUAUUUAUACCUAAGGUUAAUGUCAUUUAACGGUGAAUGCCCUUUUUGUAAUUAGAUCUAUUAUUUUAAUGCAUUGUUAAUAUGUAGUGUUAUAUCAAACAAGACUAAACUUUGAUAUAAAUUUCAACUCAGGCCAUGUCGAAAGCGAAACCUUUGGAUAAACAGAUCAAAUAGUCAAAGUUAUUCAAGUUUUCAACAUUAAUUUGACCAACUUUUACCAGAAAAGAAAAAGAAAUAGCUUAGAUAUCAAUUUUGCCGUUAUCAAAGUUUAGCAUCAAAAUAAAACAUUCAAUUGAGAUAUUCUUAAGCAUUGCUCUUAUUCGAGCUAUUCCGUAUCAACAGAGUAAAAUUAUUAUAAUAUAUGGUUCAUUAAAUAUUUAAUGAACUAUUAAGGCUGAGAAACUUUGUUUAUUAUCUCCAAUUAUCAGCAAAAUUAGAUUUGACAUAGCAGUAGAACUUUGUUAGGUUUAUUUGACAAAUACAGUUACAGUCAUUUCUCAUUUCCUCCAAUAGUUCAUUUAAAUUUUAAAUUUAUGAUGGAAUCUGACGACUUAGAGGUUACCGGCUUACCAAGGUUCCCAAUGAAGCUAUGGGAAGCUGUCAAUUCUGAGCACUCAGACUUGAUUCAGUGGGCUGAAGGAGGCAAAGCAGUUGCCAUAGAUUCUCGCAGAUUUACUGAACAAUCCAAUAAUUCAUUGAGGAACUCACGCAACAUCACGUGAUGUUUGUAAAACUCUACAACAUAGAGGAAUUUUUUUCGAAAAUAAAACUUUCUUAUAUAUACAAUGUUCCAUACGCUUUUUAGGUUAUGAAUGACUUCCCGAAGCUAGUACAGGUUGCUAGAUUUGAGAACAUUAGGCGUCAAAUGAGGGAGUAUGGAUUUAACUGGAGGGAAAAAGAUAGAGGAAUUUAUCUAUUUCAGCAUAGAAACUUUCAGAAAGAUGUUCCAGAGCAAUUACAUAAAGUGCAAACUAGACGAAAACGAGCCUAUAACAAUAAUCAAUUACGCAACUGUGAUGAAAAAGAAAUCGCAAAAAAACGAAAUAGUUCUUCUGUGACAUUGAAACAUGGUGAUAAAGAAACAACGGCAAAGGUAGUUGCGGCUGCUGCAGCAACCAUUACAGCCGCAGCUGUAGGUAUUCAAAUAAAUCCAGGAUUUCUUCAGCUCCUAUUAUAGUUUUGUUUUAGACAAAAGUUUACAUACAUACUCUGCUUAAUGCAUCUUGACUAAUAAAAAAUGCAACAGAAGGAUAAACUGAAGAAUAUAUAAAAGUGAAGAAAGUCUUUCUAUAUUUUAUUUUUAUAUCUUCUAAGUCUCUUUUUUGCUUAGAAUUUUCGACAAUAGAAUAAAAUUUCGAAAUAUAUUUC